rnacentral:rRNA from 2 species
GCGUUAAGUUGCAGGGUAUAGACCCGAAACCCGGUGAUCUAGCCAUGGGCAGGUUGAAGGUUGGGUAACACUAACUGGAGGACCGAACCGACUAAUGUUGAAAAAUUAGCGGAUGACCUGUGGCUGGGGGUGAAAGGCCAAUCAAACCGGGAGAUAGCUGGUUCUCCCCGAAAGCUAUUUAGGUAGCGCCUCGUGAAUUCAUCUCCGGGGGUAGAGCACUGUUUCGGCUAGGGGGCCAUCCCGGCUUACCAACCCGAUGCAAACUGCGAAUACCGGAGAAUGUUAUCACGGGAGACACACGGCGGGUGCUAACGUCCGUCGUGAAGAGGGAAACAACCCAGACCGCCAGCUAAGGUCCCAAAGUCAUGGUUAAGUGGGAAACGAUGUGGGAAGGCCCAGACAGCCAGGAUGUUGGCUUAGAAGCAGCCAUCAUUUAAAGAAAGCGUAAUAGCUCACUGGUCGAGUCGGCCUGCGCGGAAGAUGUAACGGGGCUAAACCAUGCACCGAAGCUGCGGCAGCGAACGUAUCACCCAAGACAACUUUACGGAGUUGACGAUUGACGGAGCGAAGCGACGUCAAAGCGUUCAUUAAAGUCGAGUUGGCUUAGGGAUACGUUCGUUGGGUAGGGGAGCGUUCUGUAAGCCUGUGAAGGUGUGUCGUGAGGCAUGCUGGAGGUAUCAGAAGUGCGAAUGCUGACAUAAGUAACGAUAAAGCGGGUGAAAAGCCCGCUCGCCGGAAGACCAAGGGUUCCUGUCCAACGUUAAUCGGGGCAGGGUGAGUCGACCCCUAAGGCGAGGCCGAAAGGCGUAGUCGAUGGGAAACGGGUUAAUAUUCCCGUACUUGGUGUUACUGCGAAGGGGGGACGGAGAAGGCUAUGUUGGCCGGGCGACGGUUGUCCCGGUUUAAGCGUGUAGGUGUGUGUUCCAGGUAAAUCCGGUU